GACGAACGCUGGCGGCGUGCCUAAUACAUGCAAGUCGAGCGGACUUUCAAGAAGCUUGCUUUUUGAAAGUUAGCGGCGGACGGGUGAAUAACACGUGGGCAACCUGCCUGUAAGACGGGGAUAACUCCGGGAAACUGGGGCUAAUACCGGAUAAUAUCUUUCUUCGCAUGAAGGAAGGUUGAAAGGCGGCGCAAGCUGCCGCUUGCAGAUGGGCCCGCGGCGCAUUAGCUAGUUGGUGAGGUAACGGCUCACCAAGGCGACGAUGCGUAGCCGACCGGAGAGGGUGAUCGGCCACACGGGGACUGAGACACGGACCAGAAUCCUACGGGAGGCAGCAGUAGGGAAUCUUCCGCAAUGGACGAGAGUCUGACGGAGCAGCGCCGCGUGAGCGAAGAAGGUCUUCGGAUCGUAAAGCUCUGUUGUCAGGGAAGAACAAGUACCGUUCGAAUAGGGCGGUACCUUGACGGUACCUGACCAGAAAGCCACGGCUAACUACGUGCCAGCCGCCGCCGUAA
rnacentral:rRNA from 1 species